UACAGAGGUCCCGAGCGUUGUUCGGAUUCAUUGGGCGUAAAGGGUGCGUAGGUGGCGCUGUAAGUGGGGUGUGAAAUCCCGGGGCUUAACUCCGGAACUGCAUUCCAUACUGCGGUGCUUGAGGACUGGAGAGGAGACUGGAAUUUACGGUGUAGCGGUGAAAUGCGUAGAUAUCGUAAGGAAGACCAGUGGCGAAGGCGGGUCUCUGGACAGUUCCUGACACUGAGGCACGAAGGCCAGGGGAGCAAACGGG
rnacentral:rRNA from 1 species